rnacentral:lncRNA from 1 species
GACCCACGUAAUCCUUUAAGGCCACUGGUUUCCGUUACAUGGUAACAUGAAACGGAAUAGGAGAAAUGUAAACGGUGAGACGGUGAUGUAAGACAGAGCCCGAUAAUGCCAAGGACAUGCGACGCUCAUCAUGAACGGAACGCUGAAUGCAUUCUACUACAGUGAUCGAUGAAUAUUUAAAUCUAUUUCUCGUCUAUCUCACCUGUUACCCCGGCGAUCAGUCGAUCAAUUGCACCGGCUUCAUAAAGUUCCUGCGGUGCGUAAAACGAAGAAAGUAAAGAUCUUUCGCCAAACUUGACGAACUUUUUCGAUCGCGUAUCAACCAGAUCGAUGGUCUUGGGGGUGAUU